CCGACUUUCAGCGCCUCAGCUCCAGCGCCAUGGCGCCUUCCAGGAAGUUCUUCGUUGUGGGGAACUGGAAGAUGAACGGGCAGAAGCAGAAUCUGGGGGAGCUCAUUGGCACUCUGAACGCUGCCAAGGUGCCGGCCGAAACCGAGGUGGUUCGUGCUCCCCCCACUGCCUAUAUCGACUUUGCCCAGCAAAAGCUAGAUCCCAAGACUGCUGUGGCUGCACAGAACUGCUACAAAGUGACUAAUGGGGACUUUACUGGGGAGAUCAGCCCUGGCAUGAUCAAAGACUGCGGAGCCACGUGGGUGGUCUUGGGGCACUCAGAGAGAAGGCAUGUCUUUGAGGAGUCAGAUGAGCUGAUUGGGCAUAAAGUGGCCCAUGCUCUGUCAGAGGGACUCGGAGUAAUCUCCUGUAUUGGGGAGAAGCUAGAUGAAAGGGAAGCUGGCAUCACUGAGAAGGUUGUUUUCCAGCAGACAAAAGUCAUCGCAGAUAAUGUGAAAGACUGGAGCAAGGCCGUCCUGGCCUAUGAUCCUGUGUGAGCCAUUGGUACUGGCAAGACUGCAACACCCCAACAGGCCCAGGAAGUACACGAGAAGUUCCGAGGAUGGCUUGAGUCCAACGUCUCUGAAGCCGUGGCUCAGAGCACCGAUAUCAUUUAUGGAGGCUCUGUGACUGGGGCAACCUGCAAGGAGCAGGCCAGCCAGCCUGACGUGGAUGGUUUCCUUGUGGGUGGUGCUUCCCUUAAGCCCGAAUUCGUGGACAUCAUCAAUGCCAAACAAUGAGCCCCAUCCAUCUUCCCUACCCUUCCUGCCAAGCCAGGGACUAAGCAGCCCAGAAGCCCAGUAACUGCCCCUCCCCUGCACAUGCUUCUGAUGGUGUCACCUGCUCCUUCCUGUGGCCUUAUCCAAACUGUGCCUUCCUUUACUGUUUAUAUCUUCACCCUGUAAUGGUUGGGACCAGGUCAAUCCCUUCUCCACUUACUAUAAUAGUUGGAAAUAAACGUCACCAAGGUGGCUUCUCCUUGGCUGAGAGGUGGAAGGUGUGGGAUUUGCUCCUGGGUUCCCUAGGCCCUAGUGAGGGCAGGAGAGAAACCAUCCUGUCCCUUCUUACACCGUGAGGCCAAGAUCCUCCCCUCAGAAGGCAGGAGUGCUGCCCUCUCCCAUGGUGCCCAUGCCUACGUGCUGUGUACGUGAACCACCCACAUGUGAGGGAAUAAACACCUGGCACUAG